CGUGCAGGCGGUUCCGUAAGUCAGACGUGAAAGCUCUUGGCUUAACUGGGAGAGGUCGUUUGAUACUGCGGGGCUUGAGGUCGGGAGAGGGACGUGGAAUUCCCGGUGCAGUGGUGGAAUGCGUAGAUAUCGGGAGGAACACCAGUGGCGAAGGCGGCGUCCUGGCCCGUACCUGACGCUAAGACGCGAAAGCGUGGGGAGCGAACG
rnacentral:rRNA from 1 species